GAUGAACGCUAGCGGGAGGCUUAAUACAUGCAAGUCGAGCGGCAAGUUUUGAUAGCAAUAUUGGAACCUAGAGCGGCGCACGGGUGAGUAACGCGUACAUGACCUGCCCUAUACUGGGGGAUAGUCUUGGGAAACUGAGAAUAAUCCCGCAUGUGAUUAGUAUGCUGCAUGGCAAAUUAAUCAAAGCUGAGGCGGUAUAGGAUGGGUGUGCGUCUGAUUAGCUAGUUGGUAGUGUAACGGACUACCAAGGCGAUGAUCAGUAGGGGGCGUGAGAGCGUGACCCCCCACACGGGUACUGAGACACGGACCCGACUCCUACGGGAGGCAGCAGUAAGGAAUAUUGGUCAAUGGAGGGAACUCUGAACCAGCCAUCCCGCGUGAAGGAUGAAGGGGCUCUGCCUUGUAAACUUCUUUUGCAUGGGACAAAAAAACUUAAUUUAUUAAGGACUGACGGUACCAUGAGAAUAAGCACCGGCUAACUCCGUGCCAGCA
rnacentral:rRNA from 1 species